rnacentral:rRNA from 1 species
UACAGAGGUCUCAAGCGUUGUUCGGAAUCACUGGGCGUAAAGGGUGCGUAGGCGGCGGGGAAAGUCAGAUGUGAAAUCCGGAGGCUCAACCUCCGAAUGGCAUCCGAUACUACCUCGCUAGAGAUUUGUAGAGGAGCUUGGAAUUCUCGGUGUAGCAGUGAAAUGCGUAGAUAUCGAGAAGAACGCUCGCAGCGAAGGCGAAGCUCUGGGCAAAAUCUGACGCUGAUGCACGAAGGCUAGGGGAGCAAACGGG